rnacentral:lncRNA from 1 species
CCAGACUUCAAGAUGGCUCCUGGUGUACAUGCCCAUAUGUAUGGUCACUCUGAAAUUGAUCAUACAGGCUGGUCUGUGUGAGCAACAAAACAUGGCAGACAUUAUGGUGUACACUUUGGAUGCUAGAUCAUAAGAGGUUUGCAACUUCUACCUUAGUCUCUUAUGCUGACCCCUCUUGGGGAAGUCAACCACCAUGUCCUGAGGACCAAACAGGCUAUAGAGAAGCUCAGGCGGAAAAAAGCCAAUCUGCCAGGCAUGUGAGAGCCACCUUGUAAACAGAUCCUUCAGCCACAAUCAAGCCUUCAGAUGACUGCAGACCCAGUAACCUCAUGAGAGACCAGGAGCAUGAACCAUCCAACCAAAAUAUCCCUUGAAUUCCUGACUCACGGACAGGACAGCACAAGAUAUAAUUGUCAUAAAUCUCUAAAUUUGGGGAUAAUCCCUCAUGCUACAGUG